UACGUAGGGGGCAAGCGUUGUCCGGAUUUAUUGGGCGUAAAGAGCGUGUAGGCGGCCAGAUAGGUCCGUUGUGAAAACUGGAGGCUUAACCUCCAGCUGUCGAUGGAAACCAUCUGGCUAGAGUCCGGAAGAGGAGAGUGGAAUUCCUGGUGUAGCGGUGAAAUGCGCAGAUAUCAGGAAGAACACCCGUGGCGAAGGCGGUUCUCUGGGCCUGUUCUGACGCUGAGGAGCGAAAGCGUGGGGAGCGAACAGG
rnacentral:rRNA from 1 species